rnacentral:rRNA from 1 species
GUCCACGCCGUAAACGAUGAGUGCUGGACGUUGGCGGGUUUACCCGCCGGUGUCGGAGCUAACGCGAUAAGCACUCCGCCUGGGGAGUACGGCCGCAAGGUUGAAACUCAAAGGAAUUGACGGGGGCCCGCACAAGCGGUGGAGCAUGUGGUUUAAUUCGACGCAACGCGCAGAACCUUACCAGCCCUUGACAUGCCGCGCUACCCCGUGAGAGCGGGGGUUCCUUCGGGACGCGGACACAGGUGCUGCAUGGCUGUCGU